UGUCCAAGGUAGGGGAAAAAAGUGAAGAUCCUGAGUAUAAGACAGUUUCUUCAGACAUUUUCUGUGUUUGCCUGUCUCUGUGUGGACUGGUGACCUGUCCAAGGUGAAGGGGGGGGAAAAAAUCAGUCUUGGAUUCAGACUAUGUAUACAUAUCAGGUCAAAAUUUUGACCUCGGCCCAUGAUCUUGACUUUUAACCAAUUUUUCUCAAAAUAAAAUGACUUUGUUCUUGGCUGGCAUUUCACCAAGAUUGGUCCAAAUUGGAUCAAAAC